AUUGAACGCUGGCGGCAGGCCUAACACAUGCAAGUCGAGCGGAUGAGAAGAGCUUGCUCUUCGAUUCAGCGGCGGACGGGUGAGUAAUGCCUAGGAAUCUGCCUGGUAGUGGGGGACAACGUUUCGAAAGGAACGCUAAUACCGCAUACGUCCUACGGGAGAAAGCAGGGGACCUUCGGGCCUUGCGCUAUCAGAUGAGCCUAGGUCGGAGUAGCUAGUUGGUGAGGUAAUGGCGCUCCAAGGUGACGAUCCGUAACUGGUCUGAGAGGAUGAUCAGUCACACUGGAACUGGGACACGGUCCAGACUCCUACGGGAGGCAGCAGUGGGGAAUAUUGGACAAUGGGCGAAAGCCUGAUCCAGCCAUGCCGCGUGUGUGAAGAAGGUCUUCGGAUUGUAAAGCACUUUAAGUUGGGAGGAAGGGCAGUAAGUUAAUACCUUGCUGUUUUGACGUUACCGACAGAAUAAGCACCGGCUAACUCUGUGCCAGCAGCCGCGGUAAAAC
rnacentral:rRNA from 1 species